rnacentral:rRNA from 27 species
UUGACCUCGAAUCAGGUAGGGAUACCCGCUGAACUUAAGCAUAUCAAUAAGCGGAGGA